ACGGGAGCUUGCUCCUGGUGGCGAGUGGCGAACGGGUGAGUAAUACAUCGGAACGUACCCAGGAGUGGGGGAUAACGUAGCGAAAGUUACGCUAAUACCGCAUAUUCUGUGAGCAGGAAAGCGGGGGAUCGCAAGACCUCGCGCUCUUGGAGCGGCCGAUGUCGGAUUAGCUAGUUGGUGAGGUAAAAGCUCACCAAGGCGACGAUCCGUAGCAGGUCUGAGAGGAUGAUCUGCCACACUGGGACUGAGACACGGCCCAGACUCCUACGGGAGGCAGCAGUGGGGAAUUUUGGACAAUGGGGGGCAACCCUGAUCCAGCCAUGCCGCGUGAGUGAAGAAGGCCUUCGGGUUGUAAAGCUCUUUCGGCGGGGGAAGAAAUGGCAACGGCUAAUAUCCGUUGUUGAUGACGGUACCCCCCAUAAGAAGCCACCGGCUAACUACGUGCCAGCAGCCGCGGUAAUACGUAGGGGUGCGGAGGCGUUAAUCGGAAUUACUGGGGCGGUAAAGCGUGCGCAGGCGGUUUCGUAAAGAACAGAACGUGAAAAUCCCCGGGCUCAACCUGGGAAACUGCGUUUUGUGACUGCGAGGCUAGAGUAC
rnacentral:rRNA from 1 species